rnacentral:rRNA from 1 species
GCAGUCGAGCGCACUCUUCGGAGUGAGCGGCGGACGGGUUAGUAACGCGUGGGAACGUGCCCUUCUCUAAGGAAUAGCCACUGGAAACGGUGAGUAAUACCUUAUACGCCCUUCGGGGGAAAGAUUUAUCGGAGAAGGAUCGGCCCGCGUUAGAUUAGAUAGUUGGUGGGGUAACGGCCUACCAAGUCUACGAUCUAUAGCUGGUUUUAGAGGAUGAUCAGCAACACUGGGACUGAGACACGGCCCAGACUCCUACGGGAGGCAGCAGUGGGGAAUCUUGGACAAUGGGCGCAAGCCUGAUCCAGCCAUGCCGCGUGAGUGAUGAAGGCCUUAGGGUCGUAAAGCUCUUUCGCCAGAGAUGAUAAUGACAGUAUCUGGUAAAGAAACCCCGGCUAACUCCGUGCCAGCAGCCGCGGUAAUACGGAGGGGGUUAGCGUUGUUCGGAAUUACUGGGCGUAAAGCGCACGUAGGCGGAUCAGAAAGUUGGGGGUGAAAUCCCAGGGCUCAACCCUGGAACUGCCUCCAAAACUCCUGGUCUUGAGUUCGAGAGAGGUGAGUGGAAUUCCGAGUGUAGAGGUGAAAUUCGUAGAUAUUCGGAGGAACACCAGUGGCGAAGGCGGCUCACUGGCUCGAUACUGACGCUGAGGUGCGAAAGUGUGGGGAGCAAACAGGAUUAGAUACCCUGGUAGUCCACACCGUAAACGAUGAAUGCCAGUCGUCAGCAAGCAUGCUUGUUGGUGACACACCUAACGGAUUAAGCAUUCCGCCUGGGGAGUACGGUCGCAAGAUUAAAACUCAAAGGAAUUGACGGGGGCCC